rnacentral:rRNA from 1 species
UUUUGAAUUAAAUUUUUAAAUUAUAAAAAUAGAAUAAUCAAUAAGAAUAAUAUUAAUUAAUAUUAUUAUAAUCUUUUCAUAAAUGAUUAAAUUUAAAAUGAACUGAAACAUCUUAGUAAUUAUAAAAUAAUAUUAUGAAAGUAAAGGCGAUUGAAAUCAUAAUUUUUUCUUUGGAUUUACAAAAUUAAAUAAUUGAUUAUAUCUAUAAAAUUAGUACUGUGAAGGAAAUUAAUAAAUAAUUUAUAAUAAAAAAUGAAAAUCAUUUACCUUUUGUAUAAUGGGCUUAUAAAAUAAUAAUUAGCAAGCUAUAAGGCUAAAUAAUUUAUAAAGUUAAUUAUUCCCGAAACUUAACGAUCUAAUUGUGAAUAAUUUUCAGAAUGAACCAAUAAAUGAUAAAAAUUUUUGGAUAAUU